rnacentral:rRNA from 1 species
UACGUAGGGUCCGAGCGUUUGUCCGGAAUUAUUGGGCGUAAAGGGCUCGUAGGCGGUUUGUCGCGUCGGGAGUGAAAACAGCGGGCUUAACUCGUUGCUUGCUUCCGAUACGGGCAGACUAGAGGUAUGCAGGGGAGAAUGGAAUUCCUGGUGUAGCGGUGAAAUGCGCAGAUAUCAGGAGGAACACCGGUGGCGAAGGCGGUUCUCUGGGCAUUACCUGACGCUGAGGAGCGAAAGUGUGGGGAGCGAACAGG